CCUACGGAGGGCAGCAGUGAGGAAUAUUGGUCAAUGGACGAAAGUCUGAACCAGCCAAGUCGCGUGAAGGAUGACUGCCCUAUGAGUUGUAAACUUCUUUUAUAAAGGGAUAAAACGAGGCACGUGUGCCGGUUUGCAUGUACUGUAUGAAUAAGGAUCGGCUAACUCCGUGCCAGCAGCCGCGGUAAUACGGAGGAUCCGAGCGUUAUCCGGAUUUAUUGGGUUUAAAGGGUGCGUAGGUGGGUUGAUAAGUCAGUUGUGAAAGUUGGGGGCUCAACCUUUAAAUUGCAUUUGAUACUGGCAGUCUUGAGUACAGUUGAGGUAGGCGGAAUUCGUGGUGUAGCGGUGAAAUGCUUAGAGAUCACGCAGAACACCGAUUGCGAAGGCAGCUUACCAAACUAUAACUGACGUUGAUGCUCGAAAGUGUGGGUAUCAAACAGGAUUAGAUACCCGGGUAGUC
rnacentral:rRNA from 1 species